AAGUCGUAACAAGGUCUCCGUUGGUAAACCAGCGGAGGGAUCAUUAUAGAGUUGCAAAACUCCUAUCACCAUUGCGAACUUACCUUACAACCGUUGCUUCGGCAGGCGGCCCUAGGCUUCUGUUUUCACAGAUCCUUGGGGCCCUAUAGCCUGAUUGUCAGGUGCCCGCCGGAGGCCCCAAACUCUUAUGUCUUUAGUGGUUUUCUCCUCUGAGUGACACAUAAACAAAUAAAUAAAAACUUUCAACAACGGAUCUCUUGGUUCUG
rnacentral:misc_RNA from 1 species